rnacentral:rRNA from 1 species
AUGCCUGCAGCAGUAGUGGCACUCGAACUUGCGGUUGCUGUCCGGGGCGGCGCUUGCAGCGGUGAUGGCAGCUCCACUGCUGCUCUGCGUGGUGGCAGAAGGGGUCGCGCUGCUGGCAGCGGUGGCUUCUUUAAUUCUUCCCUCAGGCGAUGCAUGCGGGACGUCAAUGCCGAAGAGACGAAUGCCAGAGUUGGGGCUUUCUCGCGGAGGAGCGCCGGAGCGCAGGAAUGGCAACUCGGAGAAGGACGCAACGUUGCCAAAGUCAUGAGGCUCCCGCACGGUCGCAGCGCCACCACCGACACCACCUUCACCGCCUCCGCCUCCACCGCCACCCAUGCAACCAGAACCAGGUGGAUUGAGAAAGGCACAGAAUUUCCUAGGCUAUCUAGCAGCUCUUUGUGA